rnacentral:rRNA from 1 species
UACGUAGGGGGCGAGCGUUGUCCGGAUUUAUUGGGCGUAAAGAGCUCGUAGGCGGCUUAGCAAGUCGGGUGUGAAAACUCCAGGCUCAACCUGGAGACGCCACUCGAGACUGCUAUGGCUAGAGUCCGGUAGGGGACCACGGAAUUCCUGGUGUAGCGGUGAAAUGCGCAGAUAUCAGGAGGAACACCGGUGGCGAAGGCGGUGGUCUAGGCCGGCACUGACGCUGAGGAGCGAAAGCGUGGGGAGCAAACAGG